UUUCAGAUCAAUGUCUAGUUAUCAGAUGAUUAUAACCAUCACUUGUGAGGAACUGGUCAGAAGUUAAAACAUGUGUAAAGUGUUAUGCUACAAAGUGUUAUUUAAGCCAAAGUUUCAACACAAGCUUCAUAUCACAUUAAAAAUGUUCAGAACGAGAUAUUAAGGUGUACAGCCUUGUGAGCGAAGUGAAGGACAGUUGACAGAUUGUGUGUGUUGCCCCAGCAGUUCAACAAAGGAACAGUUCCAAAUGCAGUUUACAGCCAAGUGAUCUAGAAAUGGGAUCUAGAUUAUGAGAACUAUGACUAAGAGACAUCUGAGAAAUAAAAAGCACCUAUAAUCAGAAUUGUAGCAAGCUUGUACCAUAUUUCUCUUUUUAA